GACGAACGCUGGCGGCGUGCUUAACACAUGCAAGUCGAACGAAGAGCGAUGGAAGCUUGCUUCUAUCAAUCUUAGUGGCGAACGGGUGAGUAACGCGUAAUCAACCUGCCCUUCAGAGGGGGACAACAGUUGGAAACGACUGCUAAUACCGCAUACGAUCUAAUCUCGGCAUCGAGGAUAGAUGAAAGGUGGCCUCUAUUUAUAAGCUAUCACUGAAGGAGGGGAUUGCGUCUGAUUAGCUAGUUGGAGGGGUAACGGCCCACCAAGGCGAUGAUCAGUAGCCGGUCUGAGAGGAUGAACGGCCACAUUGGGACUGAGACACGGCCCAGACUCCUACGGGAGGCAGCAGUGGGGAAUCUUCCGCGAUGGACGAAAGUCUGACGGAGCAACGCCGCGUGAGUGAUGACGGCCUUCGGGUUGUAAAGCUCUGUUAAUCGGGACGAAAGGCCUUCUUGCGAAUAGUUAGAAGGAUGACGGUAC
rnacentral:rRNA from 1 species